AGAAAAGUAGAGAAAAGAAAAUGGAAAGAAGAGAGAGGGCAAGCAAACCAAAAGAACAGGGAGAGAGAGAGAGAGAGAGAGAGAGAGAGAGAGAGAGAGAGAGAACCAAGAGAGCUCAUGGCCAAAAAUGGCAGUUUUUCAUUCAUUCAUUCAUUUGUUUGUUUAAUUAGAAUCAGAAGCCUGGGGAAAGGAAGCAAAGUCUCUGGGCUGGAGAGACUUACAGUAGGGAGGAGGGCAUGCUGGCUAGGAUUUCUCUAUAAGAGGGACUUGCCGAGAGAGCCUUGAGGCUACCGUGUGCCAGCAAGCAUCUCAGCCAUAACAAACACUAUGCAGAGUAUAACACACUACACAAAUGGCCGGCAUUUGUAGGAGGCAGUGGCUGUCCCUGCAGAGAUAGAACUGUGGUCAUUUUAGACUGCUUCUUAAAGGAGGUACAUAGCUCACUCCUCCAGGGACGGAGAACACAGAGAAAGACCAGGACUGCCUGUGAACUCCUCUGAUGGUUCUCCUAAUUCUCAGAGCAGAGGCCACUGAUGUUCGUGCUUUGUGAUCUCAGCAUCACAUGUGAAUCAGACUCAGGCCAAGUCCCAGCAGCCUCUGCUCACUCUCCUUGUAUUGCAUCAUUCUUUAUCCUGGGAGCCCUAGAUGCACGGAUCUAUAUUCCUGAUGGAUAACAGUCUAACUUCCUGUCCACGGGACCUACUCCUGAUAGAUAAGCUUGGCUUAUCUAGAAAUUUGAAACUAUGCUUUGAUUGUCUUUUCUUAUUACCAAGACAAAUAGCAUAGAAAACAUAGAUACUUACAGGGAUGAGUUUGAAGGGCUAAGGAAAAGCAAACAAACACUACCCACUUUCCAGAGUAGCUAUUGCUUCUAUUAACAUUUAUUCUCUUGGUUCUUUUUCACUCAUAUCUGAGGAUAAGUAUUUAUACUACAAUGUUAAUUAUUUUGUAACCUGGAUUUCAUACUUAAUCUACAUUGAUCAUCUUUCUGCAUUAUUAAAUAUCUGACCUACUAAAAGAAGACAUCUUGGCAUCACAAGAUGGCUACCUUACAGCCACACUAACCCCAACACCCACUACUUGCUAUGCCCUUAAAAAAUGUCUUUUAUUUACUAUUUGAGAAUUCCACACAUGUACACAAUACGUUUUGAUCAUCUCCUCCUGCCACCCCACCUCUUCAAUUCCCCCUGGAUGUUCUCACCACAUUUCCAAGCAUCAUGCUCAAUUUUCUUUUAACUCAUGGAGUGAUUAGUGCUGCCAGUACGUAUAUGGGUAUGAGGCCAUGUGUGGGAGCAUGGACAACCUAUCAGGGACCCCAUCUCUAAAAAUAAACCAUCAAACAAUCAAGAAAAACAAAUGGAUCCUCCCUCUCCUGAAAGCCACUCUCUGUCAACAGUUAGUUAUCAUCUAGGAGUAGCCUCCUGAGUGCCUCCUCUGUCUAAGCUGGAUUGUGACUGGCUUGAUCGUUUUAUGAGAAACAAUUGCACUUUAAGCCAAGGCAAUGUUUCCUAACCUCCAAAUGUCCCAGGUAGGGCCUGGAGAGAUGGCUCAGCAGUUCAAAGAGCACUUGCUCCUCUUCCUAAGGAUCUGGGUUUGAUUCCCAACAUCUAUGUGGUGACUCAGUCUUCUGCAACUUCAGUUCCAGGGACACUCUUCUGAGUUUACCAGGCAUGUACAUGGAAUAUACAAGCAAAACAGCCAAGCACUUUUAAAUAUAUAUAUCAUAUAUUUAUAUAUCAUAUGUAUAUGAUAUAUGUACUUUAUAUAUUAUGUAUGUAAUAUGUAAUAUUACACACAUAGUAUAUAAAAUAUAUAUAUUUUAAUUACAUAUGCGUAUAUUAAACAUGAACAUCUUAUAAUGUGAAUAUAUCUCCCUUGGGGAAAAGGCUUUUACAGACUGAGGGUAUGCCCAACAUUAUAGUAUUGCAUGGCUAAGGCUCCACGUUCACUGCUACUGAAACAACAAGUCAACAAACCCUGAAAAAUAAGAGCUUUCGAUAUGAACAUGGGUAGAAUAUGGAUGUAGGAAACCGUGUGCUUCCUGUGAGAAACUUCAUGUGGCUGAAAAUAAGCCCAGAUUGGAGGGAGGGCGCUGUGAGAGGCAUUACUCAAAGCCAGCAGACAUACAAGCCAAGUCCAGAACUGAGGACCCUACUCACUGACAGGGAAAGAGGCAGAGAGGGCCAGCAUCUCGCCUGGUGUGCAAGGUCAUUUCUCCAUUCUUCCUCCCGCCCCCUGGAGGUCAACAGAAAAGGCCACUAUCCCUCCCCAAAACUGAAGUGCUGCGGAGACUGUUGAAUUUCUACCAGGAAGACAACUGUUGAGGUGGAGGAGGCCCAGCCCCGCCCUCCCUCGGAGCUGGAAGCCAGGAGCCUGUGACUGGACAGACUGCAGCUCUAAUCCUGGAGUGCCAUGCCUGUUGGAACCAAUCAGAACCACUCUGCUCUUGGAGUCUGGAGAAGGCUUCUGCCUCACCAUGGCAACUGGCUCCCUGCUGAAAGGGAAACUCAGGCCUCUACUUUGCUUUCUGCUCAGUGCUGGAUGGCUGAGGGCUGACAAUGUCCCUUGCUCCUCUUUUCGUUUUCAGCCUGUGAGGAAAAUCUGACGAAUGACAGUACUGAGACGAGCAGAGAGUGUUUCCCUAAAGCCAGCUCUAACGCUGUCUGAGAAGAAUCUCUCCCUCAUCUCUCCCUUUUUCUCUGUCUCUGUUCCUCUCUUCUUCUCUUUCCCUCUGUUUCUCUCUCUCUCUCCUCUCUCUCUCCUCUCUCUCUCUCUCUCUCUCUCUCUCUCUCUCUCUCUCUCUCUCUCUCUCUCUCUCUCCUUCUUGCAUCUUUGGAAGUAAGCCAGACCGGCAAUUUUAACUAGAGACCGUCAGGGCUCUCCACGGAGCAUUCCCUGGAGAGAUGGUUCUGUUUUAAGUUGCUUGGCACAAGAAACUGGGUCUCUCUGUGUAGUUCUGGUUGCUCUGGAACUAACUACUUAGGUCAGGCUGUCUUUGAACUCUACCUGCACCUGUGUGCUGGGACUAAAGAUGUGCGCCACCAUGCCUGGACAACGUAAGAAGUCCUAGGCAAUACACCUGAGACUUAACCAACUGGAUCUCUUAUGUCUGGCACAUGUGUAUGUGUGUGCAUGGUGGUAGCGGGAGGAUAUGGAAGCCAGAGGUUGACACUGGAAUCUGGAGUUCACUGAUUCAACCAGACCAACUGACAAGCCUUCAGGAUCAACUUGUCUCCACCUCAUCCCCAACCAAGGCUGAGAUGACGUCCACACAACACCAUGACUUUCACAUGGGCGCUCCCUAGUGACUCAGCUUUCCAUGCUUGCACAGCAGAAAGGUUAAAGCUCUUACCUUUGGGGAACAAGGCAGUGAGUCUCCCAGGAACUGCUCAUGUUGCAUAAAGCACAAAAUGGAGAAAGCAGACGUCACAUAGGUGCUACAAUCUUCCUGUGGAAGAAGACAGAGUCUGAUCGUGAAGAUGCGGUAGAUGUCUGUGCCUGUCUUUUAAAUAUAGACUCAAAAUGCUUCUCGUUACACUCAGUGUAUAUACACCCAGUCUCCUGGAUAGAGGAAAGAAGCACACCUCUCAGGGUUUGCAGUCAAACUAAAGAAUGUUCAUGCUUUUAACCCAAAGCCGUUUCAUAAAGUUUUGUUUCAUAAAGGUUUGAAUCUAUUGUUUUCUCUACUAUGUGGACUUCAAUAAACUCAAAAAUUCUUUUAAGCUACAGAGAAUCAUCUUGGAGCCAUCUCUGACAAGUAAUAUCGUUUAAUGGGCUACAGUUUACCUACCUGUAAAUAUUAUAUUCAUCAACAACUAAAAAAUUAGGUCUGUCUUUAAGAAAAGAUUGAACAGUGCUCAUGUUAAUUUGAUAAAUAUAGCUUGGUUAAUAUGAAACUGAGAUUUUGCCAUUUGAAACUAACAUUACUGAGGUCCAUGUAAAAUGAACCAUCUACCUCAUACACUUUCUUUUUUUCAAAUGCAAUCUAUAAUUAUAAAAUUCAUAGAAACACAGAAUUAUGAUUGAUAAAGGCUGCCAAGAUUCUAAUCUACUUUGUAUUGAGAAAUUCCCUGUAAACAGACUUGCUUCUGGUAUCAAUCAACCUGAUUAAAGGUUGUUCUUAAACAAUGGCGUAUGAUAGAAAUAAAAUGUAAACUAUGUAUAAUUUUAUAUUUUUCAGUAAACACAUGUUGUGGAUUGGUU